rnacentral:rRNA from 1 species
AACGAACGCUGGCGGCAUGCCUAACACAUGCAAGUCGAACGAGACCUUCGGGUCUAGUGGCGCACGGGUGCGUAACGCGUGGGAACCUGCCCUUAGGUUCGGAAUAACUCCCCGAAAGGGGUGCUAAUACCGGAUAAUGUCUUCGGACCAAAGAUUUAUCGCCUUUGGAUGGGCCCGCGUUGGAUUAGCUAGUUGGUAGGGUAAAAGCCUACCAAGGCGACGAUCCAUAGCUGGUCUGAGAGGAUGAUCAGCCACACUGGGACUGAGACACGGCCCAGACUCCUACGGAAGGCAGCAGUGGGGAAUAUUGGACAAUGGGCGAAAGCCUGAUCCAGCAAUGCCGCGUGAGUGAUGAAGGCCUUAGGGUUGUAAAGCUCUUUUACCCGGGAUGAUAAUGACAGUACCGGGAGAAUAAGCUCCGACUAACUCCGU